rnacentral:misc_RNA from 1 species
GUGAGUCAUCGAAUCUUUGAACGCAAAUUGCGCUCGAGGCCUUGGCCAAGAGCAUGUCUGCCUCAGCGUCGGCUACUACCCUCAACUAAGUUUCCUAUUUUUUAUAGGGGAUGCCGGUUGGAUCUGGCCGUCCGGCUUGCCUUUCAGGUUGCCGGUCAGCUGAAAUACAUUCACGCUCUGGGGGGCUGCUUUCCUUUCGAGGAGAGGCGAGUUCCGACUUGGUAGGUGACCUUUGCCGGUUACAUGCCUUCGUUGCCCGCUAAGCUUCCCAGUAGCGUUGUGCAGGACGCCAUUUGGCUU